rnacentral:misc_RNA from 1 species
GAUGAAGAACGCAGCAAAAUGCGAUAAGUAAUGUGAAUUGCAGAAUUCAGUGAAUCAUCGAAUCUUUGAACGCACAUUGCGCCCGCCAGUAUUCUGGCGGGCAUGCCUGUUCGAGCGUCAUUACAACCCUCAGGCCCCCGGGCCUGGCGUUGGGGAUCGGCAGAAGCCCCCUGUGGGCACACGCCGUCCCUCAAAUACAGUGGCGGUCCCGCCGCAGCUUCCAUUGCGUAGUAGCUAACACCUCGCAACUGGAGAGCGGCGCGGCCAUGCCGUAAAACACCCAACUUCUGAAUGUUGACCUCGAAUCAGGUAGGAAUACCCGCUGAACUUAAGCAUAUCAAUAAGCGGAGGA